UAUAUAUGCCCCGAAACCCUCUCUCGCAAAUCAGAUGACAAUCUAUAAACAAUGACGCCGGCGAAAUCCUCCGGCACGACGGCGAUCGGCCAGCCUCUCCUUCCCCAGCCACCUCAAUACAUCAUCGUCGCACCUCCCUACCCCAUCCCCUACCGCCGCCACCGCCGCCGCCGCGACUCGUGCAGCUCAUGCCGCUUCAUCUGCAUCGCCUCCACGCUCUUCGUCCUCGCAGCUGCUGUCUACCUCCUCUGGCCGUCGGAUCCGGAGCUCUCCGUCGUCCGCCUGAACCUCGAUCGCCUCCACUUCCGCACCUCUCCACGGCCCUCGCUCGACAUAACCCUAGAUCUGACGGUCAAAGUGCGGAACAGGGAUUUCUACUCCCUCGAUUACGACUCCCUGCGCGUUGCCAUCGGGUACAGAGGGGAGAGGCUAGGGUCUGUGAAAUCAGCUGGGGGGCACAUCAACGCACGCGGCUCGUCGUACGUCAACGCCACGCUCCGGCUUGACGCCGUGGAGUUGUUGACUAGUGCCAUAUUCUUACUGGAGGAUUUGGUUCGAGGUUCGAUUACGUUUGACACCGAUACUGAGAUUAGUGGAGAGCUCGGACUUUUCUUCCUUGACCUUCCUCUCAAGGGCAGCCUCUCCAAUCAGUGCCAUGUUGUGAUAAUUUGAUGUGAUGUGUAUCAGCAUUGCUCUUCCAGAGCUCAACUUAUAUCCGUAUCAUACCUGGUGUUCCUUGAGAAUGGCCCACGGCUGAAUUUAUCUAAUCUGUUCAUUUAAGUGCAUCACUCCUUAAUGAACUUUAGAUAGAAAACAAAAGUAUCAUGUGAAAUCAUCGUUAACACAAGCAAUCAUACAGUUACUCACCAAAAUUGCUACCCAGAGUGAUGAAGGGAUUGGUUAUGCGCGGGUGCAAGGACAUAGAGAUGAAGGCAGUUUCCAGCAUCUAAGAUAAACCAAAAUAGAAGGAAAUUAUGUAAAUAUUCCAACUAUUCUAUCUUCAUGUAAGUAUCUGAUCCUAUCAUGAUGCAUAGAUCAGUGUUCAUAUCCCUGUCUCUUUCCUUUGGAUUAAAGAAACUAUCUGACUCGUCCACGAGCUAAUUUAUCUGUACAGAGGUACUAUUAAUAAAACACAUUGUCCCUUUCUUCUUGGACAAUUACUCAUA